UACGUAGGGUGCGAGCGUUGUCCGGAAUUACUGGGCGUAAAGAGCUCGUAGGUGGUUUGUCGCGUUGUCCGUGAAAACUCACAGCUUAACUGUGGGCGUGCGGGCGAUACGGGCAGACUGGAGUACUGCAGGGGAGACUGGAAUUCCUGGUGUAGCGGUGAAAUGCGCAGAUAUCAGGAAGAACACCGAUGGCGAAGGCAGUUCUCUGGGACGGUACUGACGCUGAGACGCGAAAGCGUGGGGAGCGAACAGG
rnacentral:rRNA from 1 species